GAUGAACGCUAGCUACAGGCUUAACACAUGCAAGUCGAGGGGCAGCAUAAAACUAGCUUGCUAGUUUUGAUGGCGACCGGCGCACGGGUGAGUAACGCGUAUCCGACCUACCCAUAACACGGGCACAGCCGCUCGAAAGAGUGAUUGAUUCCCGAUAUGUCUUGUGAGUAGAUUUCAAGAUGAAAGAUUUAUCGGUUAUGGAUGGGGAUGCGUAAGAUUAGGUAGUAGGCGGGGUAACGGCCCACCUAGCCGACGAUCUUUAGGGGUUCUGAGAGGAAGGUCCCCCACACUGGUACUGAGACACGGACCAGACUCCUACGGGAGGCAGCAGUGAGGAAUAUUGGUCAAUGGGCGGAAGCCUGAACCAGCCAAGUAGCGUGAAGGAUUACAGCCCUACGGGUUUUAAACUUCUUUUAUAUAAGAGUAAUGUGCACUACGUGUAGUGUAUUGCAAGUAUUAUAUGAAUAAGCAUCGGCUAACUCCGUGCCAGCAGCCGCAGUAAAAC
rnacentral:rRNA from 1 species